CAGAAACGAUGGCACAAUGAGAAGCUCGGCUUGGAUGCUGGGGAUGAAUAUGAAGAUGAAAACCUUUAUGAAGGCCUGAACCUCGAUGACUGCUCCAUGUAUGAGGACAUCUCCCGGGGCCUCCAGGGCACCUACCAGGAUGUGGGCAGCCUCCACGUAGGAGAUGUCCAGCUGGAGAAGCCGUGACACCCCCUCCCCUGCCAGGCUGCCGCCACCUGCAGUGCGUCCAGCUCCAGGGUUUCUCCUCACUUCCCUGGGACAUUCUUCAGCCCUCCUGGGGGAUUCCUUAGUCAUCUUCCCCCUGGUUGGGGGCGGGGAGGUAACCUCACUCUUCUCCAGGCCAGGCCCCCUUGGACACCCCCCGGGGGUGUCCCACUCUUCUUCCCUCUAGACUGCCACACCCCCCGCCCCCUAACCCAAUCCUCCCCCUGCUGCCUUUCCCAGGCUCCCACCAACCCCAGCGGGUAAUGAGCCCUUAAUCACUGCCUCUAGGGGAGCUGAUUGUAGCAGCCCCGUUAGUGUCACCCCCUCCUCCCAGAUCUGUCAGGGCCACUUAGUGAUAAUAAAUUCUUCCCAAUAGCAGA